rnacentral:rRNA from 1 species
GACGAACGCUGGCGGCGUGCUUAACACAUGCAAGUCGAACGAAGAGCGAUGGAAGCUUGCUUCUAUCAAUCUUAGUGGCGAACGGGUGAGUAACGCGUAAUCAACCUGCCCUUCAGAGGGGGACAACAGUUGGAAACGACUGCUAAUACCGCAUACGAUCUAACCUCGGCAUCGAGGAAAGAUGAAAGGUGGCCUCUAUGUAUAAGCUAUCACUGAAGGAGGGGAUUGCGUCUGAUUAGCUAGUUGGAGGGGUAACGGCCCACCAAGGCGAUGAUCAGUAGCCGGUCUGAGAGGAUGAACGGCCACAUUGGGACUGAGACACGGCCCAGACUCCUACGGGAGGCAGCAGUGGGGAAUCUUCCGCAAUGGACGAAAGUCUGACGGAGCAACGCCGCGUGAGUGAUGACGGCCUUCGGGUUGUAAAGCUCUGUUAAUCGGGACGAAAGGCCUUCUUGCGAAUAGUGAGAAGGAUGGACGGUACCGGAAUAGAAAGCCACGGCUAACUACGU